UUGUAAUAAAUUUUUGAAAUUGUAAAGAGACUUUAUGGACACUCAUUUGAACGUGAAGAGGUAGUGAGGAAAAGGUUAAUAACUCGUCAGUAUGGAUAUUUAUAUUGACCGAUGUCUAAGUACAUUGAUUAAGGAUUCUUGAAUCUCAACGUAGCAAUUACAGAAGUAGAUCAGAUGAAAACUGUGAUUCAUCUAGAACGUGAACUGACGUCUUCUCAUUAGCGCGCAUUCAUUUUCACUCGCUUCAUUCUCUCUACGUGUCUCGUACGCAUAUACACCUAGUUAACAUCAAAAUAAAUCUAUAUCUGGCAUUCAUUGUAAUUCCAAUCGGGGUUAUGUACACGACGGCGGAAUAAAAGUACUAUAGCGCGAAA